rnacentral:misc_RNA from 1 species
UUUUGGAUUGAGAAGUGUUAGUUGAGUUGUUUUGCAGGUUGUGUAGGUCCUACGUACAGGGAAAACUCUCUCGGAUUUCUAAUAUAAAUUUAGCGUGCCUCUGACUCUUUAGUCCCUUGUUUGAGUUAUUAUUGAUAAAUUUCUUGAAUAUAAUUAUUUAGGUGAUCCGAAUCAAAAUUACCUAUUUUCUCAGCCACACCAGUAACAGUUGAAUAAUCUAUUAGUUGAUAUUAAUUUUAUUUGUAAUUUCAAUAUUA